rnacentral:rRNA from 1 species
GACGAACGCUGGCGGCGUGCUUAACACAUGCAAGUCGAACGGAAAGGCCCUGCUUUUGUGGGGUGCUCGAGUGGCGAACGGGUGAGUAACACGUGAGUAACCUGCCCUUGACUUUGGGAUAACUUCAGGAAACUGGGGCUAAUACCGGAUAGGAGCUCCUGCUGCAUGGUGGGGGUUGGAAAGUUUCGGCGGUUGGGGAUGGACUCGCGGCUUAUCAGCUUGUUGGUGGGGUAGUGGCUUACCAAGGCUUUGACGGGUAGCCGGCCUGAGAGGGUGAACGGGCACAAUGGGACUGAGAUACGGCCCAGACUCCUACGGGGGGCAAUAGGGGGGAAUAGUGCACAAUGGGCGGAAGCCUGAUGCAGAAACCCCGCGGGCGGGAAGACGGCCUUCGGGUUGUAAACCGCUUUCGCCUGUGACGAAGCGUGAGUGACGGUAAUGGGUAAAGAAGCACCGGCUAACUACGUG